rnacentral:ribozyme from 1 species
UCUAGUAGUAGUCCUUUAACGGGUUGGAUCCGGCGCCUCGUGAAGGCUACUAUAGGCUCUCCUUCUCAAAAUCUAUUCGAUGCGUCCGCGACGUACAGAACGGUACCUUGUCGCCCAAAUAUCCAUCAGUUCAUCCUCGAGCGGCUGUCCUCCAUGUUAGGAGCGGC